AAAUCAGUCGAAGAUACCAGCUGGCUGCAACUGUUUAUUAAAAACACAGCACUGUGCAUACACGAAAGUGGACGUAUACGGUGAGACGCCUGCCCGGUGCCGGAAGGUUAAUUGAUGGGGUUAGCGGUAACGCGAAGCUCUUGAUCGAAGCCCCGGUAAACGGCGGCCGUACCUAUAACGGUCCUAAGGUAGCGAAAUUCCUUGUCGGGUAAGUUCCGACCUGCACGAAUGGCGUAAUGAUGGCCAGGCUGUCUC
rnacentral:rRNA from 1 species